rnacentral:rRNA from 1 species
AUUGAACGCUGGCGGCAGGCCUAACACAUGCAAGUCGAGCGGAUGAAGGGAGCUUGCUCCUGGAUUCAGCGGCGGACGGGUGAGUAAUGCCUAGGAAUCUGCCUGGUAGUGGGGGAUAACGUCCGGAAACGGGCGCUAAUACCGCAUACGUCCUGAGGGAGAAAGUGGGGGAUCUUCGGACCUCACGCUAUCAGAUGAGCCUAGGUCGGAUUAGCUAGUUGGUGGGGUAAAGGCCUACCAAGGCGACGAUCCGUAACUGGUCUGAGAGGAUGAUCAGUCACACUGGAACUGAGACACGGUCCAGACUCCUACGGGAGGCAGCAGUGGGGAAUAUUGGACAAUGGGCAAAAGCCUGAUCCAGCCAUGCCGCGUGUGUGAAGAAGGUCUUCGGAUUGUAAAGCACUUUAAGUUGGGAGGAAGGGCAGUAAGUUAAUACCUUGCUGUUUUGACGUUACCAACAGAAUAGCACCGGCUAACUUCGUG